GAAACCAGCUAAAUUUUAAAAUAUUACUAAAAGCUUAAAAAUAAAUUAAAGAAAGUAUUAUAAUAUAUAUAUCUUCAUCAUCUUUAUUGUUUUUAGGUAUUUUUGGUUCUAUAAAACACCACCAACAUCGUAUACACACAAUAUAAUAAGUUAUACGCCACAACCUACUUAAUAUAGACAAAAACAUCAAAAUCAUACAUAAUUAAUCUUAAUUAACAUACAUAAUCCCUUUACACACCAACGUUCUUAAAAACCAAAAAUAGUAUAAUACAUUUCUCUUGCAGAAGCUUAUAGAACACACACAAAAAUAACAUACAAUUCCAUAGAUAUAUACAUCUAUUAUUAUAAAAAAGAGUUUCCUCUCUCCAGGACCUUCCACGUCGGAUGCUAGGUCAAUAAGUCGAGGUUUCACGUCGCGACACCUGUCCCUGCACACAAAACGCAAUGCUUUGUCAAAUGAGUAUAGUCUGGUCUUUGUAUCGUGACGCGUUUGUUAGAUCAAAAAGAUUGGGCUCGGCGCGUUUGUUUAAUAUUGGGCCCAAAGAAAACGUACUCAAUAAACCUAAUCUGAUACCGCGGAAGCAAGUGUAUUCUUUUCUCUCUACUGCGUGAGACGGCGACGGUGGCGCUCGAGUUUCUUCACCAUUACCGAAUCAGAUUUCGUUGGUGUUUAAUCCCAUUAUCUAUGACGCCCACUGCGAGUUCUUCAAUGUGUGGUUUACGUCGGAGAAGCUCUGUCAAUUCGGGUGUUCUUCUCCUAUUUGAAGGCCGGCAAGUGUUCAUCCGGCUAGGCUGCUGCGUUUCUGGGAGGCAAGGAAUGUGAAGCGCCCCUCCAGACUCAGACUUGGCGACUAUCGAGUUUCAGAUAAUUAUUUAAAAGAGCUUUCACCUAAUUUUGAAGAAGGCAUUCAGAUUGAUAGAUGAUGAGCUUGAGCAAGUUAGAGGCUUUUUAUCGAUGAAACUCUGCCAUUUAAAGAAUGGUUAAAGAUAUUGGGGGCUGUCUUCGCAUCAAGUUUUUCCAGUUUUUGUUUUACGCAUUAGACGAUGUGUUGUGAGAUCAGCAAGUGAAUCACACAUUUUUUUUGUUGCAGAUACCUGGUGCAAAAGUUGGUUACAGACAAUACUGAUGCUGCCAUUUUGUUGCAUUGGAUGGGUCAAUAACAAAGCUAAUCAAUGUUCGUGCCUCUGAGGUUUUCCCUGGUAUGGUUCGCCACAAGACCAAGCACAUGGUAACCAAGGGGAAUAAGAACUGCAAUGUUUUUCAGCAUCACGUUUUAGGAUUGUUCGUUUUAGUACAAAUGCUUUUAAGCCUAUUAUGUUCAGCUUCUGAGAAAGUGAGUUUAUUGUUAUUUUUAUGAACCUGUUUUACUCCGCACAUUCUAUUUUAAAACAAUGUAAAAAAAUUAAUAUUAGUUUGUUUACUCAAUAACGGUGGUAUCGAUUUUCCAUACUCGGAUUAUUCACACGGUAACUUACUUGGCAAGCACGCAAAACAACAAUAAUGAUAGUCCUCUGAUCCACCAAAUAUGCUUAGCAUGUCAAAAUACAUUCGCUAUCACUUAGUCUUGGGAGAACACGAAGAAUAAAAGAAUAUUAUGUAUUUGUAUGCUAUUCAUAAUUUUGUUUAAAACAGAAAAUUAUUUUGAUCAUAAUAGCCCACAUAUGAGUGUUUGUUUGUCGGUUUAGGAUAGUUCUAUAUCUACGCUUUCCGUGAGAUUGUUUUAACAGAUUCUUUGUGCGGAACUGCGGAUUGUCCUUACAUGAUUUCCCUGUUAUGCUAUUCAAAUCUGUACAGGCAAAUAUCAGUGGAUUUGAUAUGAUUCAAAAUCUAAAUUCAUCAUUUAAAGCUUGCCUUAUCAUGCACUGCGCUAUCAAAACAAAAGGAAACCAAAUCAUUAUACUUUAAUAUAGUAUUCUCCCAUUUAUUCUCAUGAACUAUUACGGUUUUAAAUUUUUUGUUACAAACACAUAUUUCUACGUAUCAAAGGGUGAGUAUAUUUUUGUUUUAUUUUUUCUUAGAAAAAUUUUAUUUUUAUAUUUGUGUAUUUUUUUUGUAACCAUAUUUGUGUUUAAUAUUAAUUUAAUCUAAUAAAGUUUUCCAUAACUAUAUAAAUAUGUCAAGUUGCAUAACUAUAUACCUGUGCCAUAUGCAUUUCAGAAAUUAUUUUUUAAACUUUUUUCUAAAGUUUGCAACAUAUUAUAUAUUCUUAGUAGUUACCUAACAUAAUUAGUCAAGAAUAUUCGUACUCAAAAAUCUGAAUCGAUCCGAAAAUCAAAGUCUCAUAUUCUAUUAGACUUCUAUUAGACAUGACCAAUAUAUUCCAACGGUUCUUAAAGUAUUAUAUCCGAAAACCAAUAUCAAAUCCAACCCGCACCGAAAACCAAACAAAUUUUUUGAAAAUUGUUUGAACAUAAUAAAUUUUAAUAUAUUCUGUUAAAUAUAUAUAUGGGUUAAUAUGAUUUUCAACUAUCUUUAAGUAAAAUCACAUCUUAUACAAUAAAACAGACUUGCCUCUCUCCUCAUUAAGCCACGUCAUCAAGUAGGAGAGGGCAAAUCUCGACACGUGUCAACACCUGGGUUGUUCUGUGUUUUUUUUCUUGGUUUUGUUUCUUACGUUGUCUGAUACGAAAGUGUGAACUGGGCUUUAUAGUAUUUGUGCAUGAAGCCCAUAGUGGAGCCCAGUCUUCUUCACGCUGUCUCAACCCACAAGUGGUUUAGGGUUUUCUCCUAGAGUAACUUACUUGAGCUUGGGGUAUAAAUAUCCCCUUCAUCCAGAAAUGAAGAUUAGAGCUUCGACAACAACCAAAUACUCUGUUCAACUUUCCGGUUAUUACAAUGGCGAAUCUCCAAAUGUUUCUUGCCGAUUUGAGAGGACAAUAACAUCCAUUUCAAUAGCAACUAGCUAUCCUCUUGGCUCGAUGCCAGGAUUAGUUAACCGUUAUCAAAGGGUUGAACGUGGUUCUGAUGUCAGUUUGCACGGAUUAUCGUCUACGGAGGCAGGAACAACCAGAAAAGGCAAAGAAAAUCGAAGGAGGAACAGCUUCCUCGCCAUAGAUGUGAGUGAUGAUGAGUACGAUGAGUAUGGUGUAUACCAGACUGAUAUUGAUACGAGCUGCUCUCCUCAAGGUAAUCAAUAUUAUGGCCCAAUGGAAUAUGAGGAGACGAGCAUAGGUGAUGGCCCCUGUAAGCAUCUUAGUGACGAAACCCAAGAUUGCAUAUAUAUACAAGAAAGCUUUGUAUUUACCUCUUUUGGGAAGGUAAUGAAAGAGAGAAUCUGUUUUGUUUUAACCAAAGCAGGUUUCUUCACUUAACUUUUAAGAAAAUCAUGUUUCUUCAGUGUUCAUAGUGGCUGUGACUGUGAUUCUUGUCUGAAUCUGUUUUAUUUCUUCUUUACAUCAUCAACUCUCAAAAUAUUUAACUCCCCAGUUUUGUCUGAAUCUGUCCUUUCUUAGUUCGUUUUUUUCCAGGAAGGUAAAGACAAUAUAUUAUCUUCACACUCCCAUAGCUUCCAUAAACGAGAUUGGAGGAGCAGAAGCAAUAAAUAUAGUCACAUCAAUUGCUUUCUUGAUAGCUUUUGCUAUACUCAGGAUUCAACCAGUAAACGACAUAGCCUACUUCCCUAAAUGGUAUCUCAAGGGCCUAAGAACUAGCUCCAUACAAACUGGUGGCUUUGGAAGCAAGUUCAUCAACUUGGACUUCAUGUCCUAUGUUUGAUUCCUCAACUGGAUGCCUGAAGCACUUCAAAUGCCAGAACCAGAGCUCGUCAGGUCUCGAUUCUGUUGUCUACUUGAGGAUCUACGUACUCGGGUUCAAGAAUUUUUCCCCAUAGCUUGCGUUGCUUUUACAACAAUGGUGCAUAUUAAUUGGAAAAGCAAGGGAUUGGAUGGAUUAAAACACUCUAAUAUAAGCUACAGUGAUAUUGAUAAGCUUUCAUUGUCAAAUAUACCAAAUGGAUCAGACAUGUGAGCUAUACAUUUCCUAGAGUUUGGUUCUUUUUCUUCUUUGUUCCAUUAGUGUAAUGGUUAUUCAUUUUCCUAUAGAUUUUGGGUGCAUCUGUGUAUGGUUUAUGCAAUCACCUUCUGGACAUGCUUAAUGCUGAAAAGAGAGUAUUAGAAUAUAGUAGGCUUCAGUUUCUUGCAAAUGACAAAAUGAGACGUAACCAGUUCACUGUAAUGACACCAUGAAUUUUUUUUAGUAACUAUUGAGUUAAGCUUUCUUGAUAGAUUCAAUCUGAAAAAUUAGUUCCUUUCGACAUUAUAGGAGAUUAACCACUACUAAAUGGAUCAAAAAAUCUAUUUUCUUUCAACAAAUUAUCAUUUUGAUAUUUGUGAACAUAUAUUUUUACUAAAACCAAAAAUGAAUAGUAAAUUUAUGUAAAAAUAAAAUAUACGAACCCGGCGCGUAGCGCCGGAAUACCACUAGUUUAAUAUAUAUUUUAAAUCGAAUAACCUAUAUAAAACCCAACUAAAUGAGUUUAUAUGAAUAUUUAUUUUUAUUAAAAGUCCACAUAACAAGAUUUUACCAUUGUUUUAGUUUGUUCUCUUUAGAACAAAUUUUACCAUUUGACAUAUACAGUUGAUUUCUUAUAUGUGAGAGUUCUACAUUGUCAUUGACAAAAACAAAAUCAAAUGAUAUAUUUGCAGGUUCUGUACCAGUGGUCAUAUAUAAUUGACUACUUAUACCUGAGAGGUUUACAUGGUGUUAUUACUAUGAUUGGAAAAGUCUGUUGGUUGGUCCGUGGAUUAAUAGUAUUAAUUAAGCUGUUAUAUUGUUAAUAUUUGUUUAUUCUUUAGUAUUGAAAUAAGGAUAAUUAAUUAUAUGGGUUACAUUAUAGUGUAUGUGUUUUUUUAGGAUAUUUAUUUAUUCAUUAGUAUUUAGGUAACUUAGGUUGUCGACAUUUCAUUUCUAAAGUACCCUUAAUGACUUCUAAUUUUUUAAGUAAAACUGAUGGCGCAAAAAGUAAUAUAUCAGAGAAGAGUAGAGGUAAUUUCAUAAAAGGGUUCAUGAAUUAAUAGUAUUGAUGUAAUAUACCCUACUAUCUUAUUCUUACUAGGGAUGUUCAAUAUGGCAAAACCGAACCAAACCGAAAUAGAUAAUAUGGUUUGGAUUUGGUAUAUACCAUACAAACCGAAUGGAUAUGAUUUUUAAAAAACCGUAGGAUUUGGAUAUGGUUCGGUAUAUAACCGAUAAAA